rnacentral:rRNA from 1 species
GACAGAGGUCGCAAGCGUUGUUCGGAUUUACUGGGCGUAAAGGGCGUGCAGGCGGAUAUGCAAGUCGGGGGUGAAAGGCCAGGGCUCAACCCGGGACGGUCUCCCGAAACUGCGCAUCUCGAGAAAGUCAGAGGCAGGUGGAAUUCCAGGUGUAGAGGUGAAAUUCGUAGAGAUCUGGAGGAACACCGGCGGCGAAGGCGGCCUGCUGGGGCUUUUCUGACGCUGAGGCGCGAAAGCGUGGGGAGCAAACAGG